UCUCGGCAACGGAUAUCUCGGCUCAUGCAUCGAUGAAGAACGUAGCAAAAUGCGAUACUUGGUGUGAAUUGCAGAAUCCCGUGAACCAUCGAGUUUUUGAACGCAAGUUGCGCCCGAAGCCAUUCGGCCGAGGGCACGUCUGCCUGGGCGUCACGCAUCGC
rnacentral:rRNA from 1 species